GGGGUGGCGUCUAUGCUGCAGUCGUACGCGUGCUUGGUUAUUGAUGUUAGAUGCUUGCAUUUAACUGAUUUAACAUUGAGACGAGUGGCGAACUGGUGAGUAACACGUGGGUAACCUGCCCUUGAAGUAGGGGAUAACACUUGGAAACAGGUGCUAAUACCGUAUAACAACCAAAACCACCUGGUUUUGGUUUAAAAGAUGGCUUCGGCUAUCACUUUAGGAUGGACCCGCGGCGUAUUAGCUUGUUGGUAAGGUAACGGCCUACCAAGGCAAUGAUACGUAGCCGACCUGAGAGGGUAAUCGGCCACAUUGGGACUGAGACACGGCCCAAACUCCUACGGGAGGCAGCAGUAGGGAAUCUUCCACAAUGGACGAAAGUCUGAUGGAGCAACGCCGCGUGAGUGAUGAAGGGUUUCGGCUCGUAAAACUCUGUUGUUGGAGAAGAACAGGUGUGAGAGUAACUGUUCACAUCUUGACGGUAUCCAACCAGAAAGCCACGGCUAACUACGUGCCAGCAGCCGCGGUAAUACGUAGGUGGCAAGCGUUGUCCGGAUUUAUUGGGCGUAAAGCGAGCGCAGGCGGUUUCUUAGGUCUGAUGUGAAAGCCUUCGGCUUAACCGGAGAAGUGCAUCGGAAACCAGGAGACUUGAGUGCAGAAGAGGACAGUGGAACUCCAUGUGUAGCGGUGAAAUGCGUAGAUAUAUGGAAGAACACCAGUGGCGAAGGCGGCUGUCUGGUCUGUAACUGACGCUGAGGCUCGAAAGCAUGGGUAGCGAACAGGAUUAGAUACCCUGGUAGUCCAUGCCGUAAACGAUGAGUGCUAAGUGUUGGAGGGUUUCCGCCCUUCAGUGCUGCAGCUAACGCAUUAAGCACUCCGCCUGGGGAGUACGACCGCAAGGUUUGAAACUCAAAGGAAUUGACGGGGGCCCGCACAAGCGGUGGAGCAUGUGGUUUAAUUCGAUGCUACGCGAAGAACCUUACCAGGUCCUUGACAUCUUCUGCCAACCCUAAGAGAUUACGGCGUUUCCCUUCGGGGACAGAAUGACAGGUGGUGCAUGGAUUGUCGUUCAGCUCGUGUCGUGAGAUGUUUGGCUUAAGUCCCCGCACGAGCGCAACCCCUUUAUUGUUUAGGUUGCCAGGCAUUUCAGCUUGGGGCCACCUCUAAGCCAGACCUGACCGUUGAACUAAUCUCGGAGGCAAGGGUGGGGAUAGGACCGUCA
rnacentral:rRNA from 1 species